UACGAAGGGGGCUAGCGUUGUUCGGAAUUACUGGGCGUAAAGCGCACGUAGGCGGACAUUUAAGUCAGGGGUGAAAUCCCAGAGCUCAACUCUGGAACUGCCUUUGAUACUGGGUGUCUUGAGUAUGGAAGAGGUGAGUGGAAUUCCGAGUGUAGAGGUGAAAUUCGUAGAUAUUCGGAGGAACACCAGUGGCGAAGGCGGCUCACUGGCCCGGUACUGACGCUGAGGUGCGAAAGCGUGGGGAGCAAACAGG
rnacentral:rRNA from 1 species